GAUGAACGCUAGCGGCAGGCCUAAUACAUGCAAGUCGAACGGGAUUGAGAAGCUUGCUUUUCAUGAGAGUGGCGCACGGGUGCGUAACACGUAUGUAACCUACCUUAAUCGUGGGGGGAUAGCCUCUACGAAAGAGAGAUUAACACCGCACAACAUUAGUCGGAUAGCUAUUUUCUGAAUAAUACAAAUUAUUUAAUAGG
rnacentral:rRNA from 1 species